rnacentral:rRNA from 1 species
GACGAACGCUGGCGGCGUGCUUAACACAUGCCAGUCGAACGGAAAGGCCAGGCGCUUGUGGGUGGCUCGAGUGCCGAACGGGUGAGUAACACGUGAGUAACCUGCCCUUGACUUUGGGAUAACUUCAGGAAACUGGGGCUAAUACCGGAUAGGAGCUCCUGCUGCAUGGUGGGGGUUGGAAAGUUUCGGCGGUUGGGGAUGGACUCGCGGCUUAUCAGCUUGUUGGUGGGGUAGUGGCUUCCCAAGGCUUUGACGGGUAGCCGGCCUUAGAGGGUGACCGGCCCCCCUGGCACUUGGAAAGGCCCUAGACUCAUCCCUGAGGCAGCAGUGGGGAAGACUGCAUAAUGAGACGAGGCCUGCUGCAGCACUGUAGCGUGCGGGAUGCAGGCCUUCGGGUUGAGAACCGCUUUCGCGUGUAGUGAGGAGUGAGUGACGGUAAUGGGUGAAGAAGCCCCGGCUAACUACGUG